rnacentral:pre_miRNA from 1 species
AGGCAGUGUAAUUAGCUGAUUGUACUGUGCUGCUUACAAUCACUAACUCCACUGCCAUC